AUUGAACGCUGGCGGCAUGCCUUACACAUGCAAGUCGAACGGGCUUUGGGGCUUGCUCCAAGGUUAGUGGCGAACGGGUGAGUAAUAUAUCGGAACGUACCCUAGAGUGGGGGAUAACUAGUCGAAAGACUGGCUAAUACCGCAUACGAUCUAAGGACGAAAGUGGGGGACCGCAAGGCCUCAUGCUCAUGGAGCGGCCGAUAUCUGAUUAGCUAGUUGGGAGGGUAAAAGCCUACCAAGGCGACGAGCAGUAGCUGGUCUGAGAGGACGAUCAGCCACACUGGGACUGAGACAGGGCCCAGACUCCUACGGGAGGCAGCAGUGGGGAAUUUUGGACAAUGGGGGAAACCCUGAUCCAGCAAUGCCGCGUGAGUGAAGAAGGCCUUCGGGUUGUAAAGCUCUUUUGUCAGGGAAGAAACGGUGGGGGCUAAUAUCCUCUGCUAAUGACGGUACCUGAAGAAUAAGCACCGGCUAACUACGUGCCAGCCGCCGCCGUAA
rnacentral:rRNA from 1 species